CGCAGCCGCGGUAAUUCCAGCUCCAAUAGCGUAUAUUAAAGUUGUUGCAGUUAAAAAGCUCGUAGUUGAAUUUCGGGGUUCUACCGUCGGUCGGGCUAACAAGUCUGUACUGGUGUGUAGAAUUUCUACCUUCUGGGGAACUAUCAUGUUAUUAAUUUAGCGUGGUGGGAAACCAGGACCUUUACCUUGAAAAAAUUAGAGUGUUCAAAGCAGGCUUACGUCUGAAUACAUUAGCAUGGAAUAAUAGGGUAGGACGGUGGUCCUGUUUUGUUGGUUUCUGAAUCACCGUAAUGAUUAAUAGGGAUAGUUGGGGGCAUUAGUAUUCAAUUGUCAGAGGUGAAAUUCUUGGAUUUAUUGAAGACUAACUUCUGCGAAAGCAUUUGCCAAGGAUGUUUUCAUUAAUCAAGAACGAAAGUUAGGGGAUCGAAGACGAUCAGAUACCGUCGUAGUCUUAACCAUAAACUAUGCCGACUAGGGAUCGGACGAUGUUAACCUUUAUUGACUCGUUCGGCGCCUUACG
rnacentral:rRNA from 1 species